rnacentral:rRNA from 1 species
UACGAAGGGGGCUAGCGUUGCUCGGAAUUACUGGGCGUAAAGCGCACGUAGGCGGGUCGCUAAGUCGGGGGUGAAAUCCUGGAGCUCAACUCCAGAACUGCCUUCGAAACUGACGAUCUUGAGUUCGGGAGAGGUGAGUGGAACUGCGAGUGUAGAGGUGAAAUUCGUAGAUAUUCGCAAGAACACCAGUGGCGAAGGCGGCUCACUGGCUCGACACUGACGCUGAGGUGCGAAAGCGUGGGGAGCAAACAGG